CGGAUUUGCGCUUAAAUGGGUGUUCAAUAGUUUUCGCCUUCUAAGUGAUUCUUUUCGUAUUUUAAAGUGUGAAGGUUCAUUUUACGUCUGUUCUAGCAAGUUUGGCAUGUGUUUUACCACAUGUGAAGGUGUAGUAGUCUUUUCUUCAGCGGAUGCUCGUACAAGACCCCGGGGUGUUCACCGACUAUCAGGAAAAUCACAGGGCUGGUUUCCAAAGCCUCCAAAGGAACAGGGCCAUAGUGUGACUGACGUGAACCGCACAUAUACAUCUCUGCUGUGUCUACGCAGUGCCAGAUUGCUGCAACUGUCUCAACAGGUCCUUCCUACAUAGAUAUAUUUCCAGAGUUCGCAACAGAUUCCAGUCUUAGUGCAAAAAUCUGUUUCAUGCAUUCUUUACCAACAGAAGGUGCUUCAAAAUUGGUUGCAUGAAAUGAUCAAACGCACACUGCACACUUACAAGUGCGGCGAAUGUGGCAUUCUUGCGGAGGAGUUCCUUUGCGAAAAUGCAGAGGAAUUCCUCUAUUUUUAAACUCCACAAAUCUUAAAAGUUGCGCCUAAUUAUAAGAUAUGUGUAAUUGAAUUUCAACGGUAAAUUCUGGUAGUAUUGGAACCGAGUGUGCUGGAAGCGCAGAAAAGGGGGUCCCACUAUCGUAUCAGACGGAAACACCCCUUGACGACAGGUAUGAGAAAGUCUGAACAUCUCUGCCAGUUGUAGCUACAGAUAUGACACUCUGCCUGGCAAGCAUGUGCGUCUGUGUGCCAUGUCAGGGUAUCAUUUAAACUUCGUCCCACACUUUUCGAUGGGGCAUUGCCAUCUGGGUGGUUAUUCUGCAAGAGUCCAC